GAGAUACUCCCUCCGUCCGAAAGAGCAUGUCCUAAGCUUGUCCCUCAAAUGGAUCUAUCUAGCACUAAGUUGGUGUGAGAUAUAUCCAUUUGAGGGACAAGCUUUUUCGGACGGAGGGAGUACAUU
rfam:Triticum aestivum genome assembly, contig: Triticum_aestivum_CS42_TGACv1_scaffold_571654_7AS